CCAGUUUUCACAGCCCACCUUUUUCAGAGACCACACACAGAGACUACACUGAUUGGAAUCAAGUUUAAAGGCAUGGCUUACAUUCAGGUGAAUUAAAGAAUCACAACUAUUAGUAUGAGACUUUUAAAAGACCAUACAGGAAAACAUCUUUAUGAUCAGAAGAUCAAGAGAGAUUUGUUAAACAGGAAGUGAAAGGCAAAAAACCUAAAGGAAAAAAAUGCUAUAUUAAAAUUAAGAAAGUCUGUUCAUGGAAUGACAGAAUAAAGAAAGGAAAAAGACAAACCAUAAAUUUGAGAAAUAUAUUUAUAACACAUUCAACUAGAAUUUUAACUGGAAUUCUAUUUAGCACACCACUUUCAAAGAUGAGCAGACAGAAAAAGAUAUUUAGGCUUUGAGGAAAGCAUUAUGUGUGAAAGACAAUGAUCAACACAACAAAAAGAAAAAUGAAACAACUUAGAACAUGCAGAGAAUAUGCUAGAAAAAAACUUAAAAAAUAUAAUAUCUUUAGAAGCAUGUAGAGCUGCAUCUGUUAAAUAAAAACAGGAUGCUAUAACAAACAAAUACUCCAAGAAAAGAAGGAGCUCUUGGAAAAAGUAAAGGCUUUUAUGGCACAAAUGAAAAGCUCAGUUGAAGGAUAAGAAGAUUAAGUUGAAAAAGUCUCCCAGAAAAUAGAAAAAAAAUGACAAAGGGAUGGAAAUUAGGAAAGAAAAAUACUAAGAAAAUGCAGGAAUUAUACUAGGAGGCCCAACGUAAGCAGAUCAGAGAAACCAAACCGAAGAAAAAUAUUUAUGAAAUAGUGGAAGGAAAAUUCUUCAGAACUGAACAACAUGAUUUUCCAGGUUGAAAGGCUCACCAAAUACCCAGUGGUAUGGGUGAAAAUAGCCCCUUUUUGAAUGGCACAUUGUCAGAAAUUUCAGAUCAUCUGCAACAAAGAUCUACAAACUUACAGAGAAGAAAAUACAAUUUCAUACAGAGAAUCAAAACACAGAAAUAUUGGACUUUUCAAUAGCAAGACUGGAAGUAGAUGUUUUCUAAAUUCCCAAGGGAAAGAAUUUUCGACCUACAAUCCUACAACCAGCCAAUAAAGUCACAUUUAGACAUUCACAUAUCAAAAAUUUAAUCAUCUAUCAUCCUUUCCUACAAAGCUACUGGCACAUGUGUUUCAGAAAGACGAGGUUGUAAAACAAGAGAAAGAAAAACCUGGAACCCAGGAAACAGGAUAUCCAAUGCAGCAAAAACACAAAGGGAGUCCCUAGAGUGACUGUGAAGGGAGAUUUUAAUGACAGCUGUUGACCAUUGAUAGGGUUUGGCUGUGUCACCAUGCAAAUCUCAUCUUGAAUUGUAGCUCCCAUAAUUUCCAUGUGUUUUGAACGGGACCCCAUGGGAGGCAACUGAAUCAUGGGAGCAGUUUCCCCCAUACUGUUCUCGUGGUAGUAAAUUGGUCUCACAAGAGCUGGUGGUUUUAUAAAGGGAAACCCCUUUCACUUAGCUCUCAUUCUCUCUUGACUGCCGCCAUGUAAGACGUACCUUUCACCUUCUGUCAUGAUUGUGAGGCCUCCCCAGCCACGUGGAACUGUGAGCCUAUUAAGCCUCUUUUCCUUUAUAGAUGACCCAGUUUUGGGUGUGUCUUUAUUAGCAGCAAGAAAACAGACUAAUACAGCCAUCCCGAUUGGAACAGGUCAGAAGAUUUCUUCAACAUGGUAAAGAUAAUAGACUACUUAAUAGGCUUGAACAUUGUGAAAGGAGAUUUACACAAUUGGGGGACAUUUGGGAAUUAAAUUCAUGAUGGUCAUAUAGAAAAAUAAAUGAAUCAAACAAAAGUUAAUUGUUAAUUUUAGGGAAAGCCCAACAUUGCACAGAAAAAAAAGUAAUUGUAGUAUCAUGUUGUACCACAUGGCUAGGCUGUGAAUAGUGUUCAUAUGGUCAUAAUUAUGUAAACUCCAGCUAAUGAUCUACCCAAAAUAUGAUCUAACCCUGCUGAGAGGAGGGGGAAGGUGGGAAAUGUAUGAAGAGUGAAAUUCUCAUAUUCCAAAGACAGAAGAAAAUAGGUAUUUUCUAAAUCUGAAAAAAACCAAUUAGUAACAAAAUAGGCAUACAAUGUAAAGAUAUUUAGGUAAGCAUUUUAAAAAAUCCGUUGAGAAAGUUGAAUGCAAUUGCCUCCAGGGAGCAGAAAAUUGUGGUGAGUGUUGGGUAGAAACUGAUGUUUUUUAUGUCAAGACGGGAUGCUAUUAGCUACUUUAUGUGUUUGUGAAACUUGGAUAAAAUAACAACUAAGUUAAAAAAUAAGUAACAAAAGAAUAUACACAGUAUUACAUAUUUUAUAAAGUAUAAAGCCAAACAGUAUAUUGUUUAGCGACACAUACAUAGGUGCAUGGGAAACCAUAAAGGUAAUGAAAAAAUGAAUGACAAAGUGGAUGGAAAUUUUUUUAAAAACAUACAAACCAACAACAACAGGAUAUAGCAAUUAGCUGGGGCAGAGGGAUAAGAAUGGAGAGGGAACUCUCAGAAAAUCGCAACAGUGUGGGUAAUGUUCUGCUUCUUAAGUGGAGUAAUGGGUUCAUUUUUUUUUUAUAAUUCUGCUUUGUAAUUUGAGCAUAUAUAAAUUUAUAUAUACUAUAUAUAAAAUGUAUAUGUAUCGAAC
rnacentral:lncRNA from 10 species